GACGAACGCUGGCGGCGUGCUUAACACAUGCAAGUCGAGCGGUAAGGCCCUUCGGGGUACACGAGCGGCGAACGGGUGAGUAACACGUGGGUGAUCUGCCCUGCACUUCGGGAUAAGCCUGGGAAACUGGGUCUAAUACCGGAUAUGACCAAGGACUGCAUGGUUUUUGGUGGAAAGGUUUACUGGUGCAGGAUGGGCCCGCGGCCUAUCAGCUUGUUGGUGGGGUAAUGGCCUACCAAGGCGACGACGGGUAGCCGACCUGAGAGGGUGACCGGCCACACUGGGACUGAGACACGGCGCAGACUCCUACGGGAGGCAGCAGUGGGGAAUAUUGCACAAUGGGCGAAAGCCUGAUGCAGCGACGCCGCGUGAGGGAUGACGGCCUUCGGGUUGUAAACCUCUUUCAGCAGGGACGAAGCGAAAGUGACGGUACCUGCAGAAGAAGCACCGGCCAACUACGUG
rnacentral:rRNA from 1 species